AUACUUACAUGGCAGGGGAGAUACAUGAUACCGAGGGUUGGUGCACCAGGGCUGAGGCUUAACCAUUUGCACUCCGGUUAUGAUGACCCUCGAAUUCCCCAAAUGUGGAAUCUCGACUGCAUAAUUUUGUAGGUGGGGGACUGCGUUAGCGCUCUCCCCCA